CAGCAGUCGCCGCGGUAAUACAGAGGGUGCAAGCGUUAAUCGGAAUUACUGGGCGUAAAGCGCGCGUAGGUGGUUUGUUAAGUUGGAUGUGAAAGCCCCGGGCUCAACCUGGGAACUGCAUCCAAAACUGGCAAGCUAGAGUACGGUAGAGGGUGGUGGAAUUUCCUGUGUAGCGGUGAAAUGCGUAGAUAUAGGAAGGAACACCAGUGGCGAAGGCGACCACCUGGACUGAUACUGACACUGAGGUGCGAAAGCGUGGGGAGCAAACAGGAUUAGAUACCCCCGUAGUCCCUGUCUCUUAUAA
rnacentral:rRNA from 1 species